UCAUGCAAAAAGGGCACUACCCUAAGAUUUAACAUUUUUUCUCUUUCUCUUUUACCUGCUGGAUCUUGGGUGAACUGCGUUGUAUUGGUCUUUUUACAGAUGCAUUAGAGGAUUUUGGUCAAUUGGACCAAUCUAGAGGAUAACGGCUGUUCAGCUUCAAGAACAGGAGACUCUCAAGACAUAAAAGUAUGAUACAUGAGUUAAUUUGGUAAAGACAGAGAAUCAACAGGUAUGCAAAGACGGCCGUCCCUUUAUGAUGCAAUAUGUCUGCGCCCAGGGGACGCUUGCUGGGAGCAGCCAUUUUCAACCCUACUGCCGUAGAGCAGGCGGAGUCCCUCUUUUCGCGCCUUAAGACAGGGCUAUAAAAUCUCAAGGAAUCAAAUGACAAGGAUUUACAGUUAAUAAGCCAACAAAGGAGACAAUAUGUAAUAUAAACACACUCAGCUACUCUAAGGGAAAGCAGAAAAAGAAGAAAAGGAGAACAAAGAAGACAUAGAAUAAACAACAAAUAGAAGAGAAACAGGGUGAUCCCUAUGGACUUUCAGAACAUGCAAGCAGAACACGUGGUCCUCUCCACACAGCUCUGCCACUGAACACAAAAUGAUCCUCUGACAAGUGAUGAAGAAGAAUGGGAAGAUGUGAAAAUCCAAGCAAGAAGAACUUAGGGGAAGCAACUCAACAUCUAAGAAGAAAUGAAUAGGGAUCAGUUCCAAGAAGAGAUAAAGGGGCGAAGGAAGAUUAUGCCUCUUCCUGUGGGACCAGAGACGGGCCUGAGGAUCUGCCAUUUGAAAUACCCAAGAACUGGGAUGCUUCGUCUUUGGUUUCUUCUGGAUCCUCCCUAAAUUUUGGCUAAGAAAUCUGAGUCUCCAUUUAAGAGUGUUCCCAGAAAUGAUGACAUCCACAUCCAGGAACCUCCUCCUUCCUUCAUUUGAACUCUCUUGCUUCUGGGGAGCCAGGACCUAUGGAGUAAAAAUCAAGUUCAUUUGGUGACACAUUCCCUCCGGGCCCAGAUGCUGUCUCUGCUGCUGUAAACUCUCCUGCAGUCAAGGCCAAGCAAUAUAUCUAAGCAUCCCUUUGUCAGGUGUCCCCAAGUCUUUACAUCCCAGGGCAAUAAAACAACACUCUGAAUGUGGGGAGUCAUAUGGCAGUGGGCUUAACCAGGAGCCGGCAUAUCUGGCCACUUUCCAAUGCUUCAA
rnacentral:lncRNA from 1 species